rnacentral:rRNA from 1 species
CCUACGGGCGGCAGCAGUGGGGAAUAUUGGACAAUGGGCGAAAGCCUGAUCCAGCCAUGCCGCGUGUGUGAAGAAGGCCUUCGGGUUGUAAAGCACUUUCAGUGGGGAAGAAAGCCUUGGGGCUAAUACCCUCGAGGAAGGACAUCACCCACAGAAGAAGCACCGGCUAACUCCGUGCCAGCAGCCGCGGUAAUACGGAGGGUGCGAGCGUUAAUCGGAAUUACUGGGCGUAAAGCGCGCGUAGGCGGUCUGAUAAGCCGGUUGUGAAAGCCCCGGGCUCAACCUGGGAACGGCAUCCGGAACUGUCAGGCUAGAGUGCAGGAGAGGAAGGUAGAAUUCCCGGUGUAGCGGUGAAAUGCGUAGAGAUCGGGAGGAAUACCAGUGGCGAAGGCGGCCUUCUGGACUGACACUGACGCUGAGGUGCGAAAGCGUGGGUAGCAAUCAGGAUUAGAUACCCGGGUAGUC